rnacentral:rRNA from 1 species
CCUACGGGUGGCAGCAGUGGGGGAUAUUGCACAAUGGGGGGAACCCUGAUGCAGCGCCGCCGCGUGGGUGAAGGAGUGCUUCGUCGUGUAAAGCCCUAUCGGCAGGGAAUAAGCAAGACGUUCCCUGACUAAGCAGCACCGGCUAACUACGUUCCAGCAGCCGCGGUAAUACGUAGGGUGCGAGAUUUCUCCGGAUUCACUGGGUGUACAGUGAGCGUAGACGGCCAUGCAAGCUAGGGGUGAAAGCCCGGGGCCCAACCCCUGGACUGCCCUUGGAACUGCAUGGCUGGAGGGCGGGAGGGGCAGGCGGAAUUCCUGGUGUAGCGGUGAAAUGCGUAGAGAUCAGGAGGAACACCGGCGGAGAAGGCGGCCUGCUGGACCGCGACUGACGUUGAGGCUCGAAAGCGUGGGGAGCGAACAGGAUUAGAGACCCCAGUAGUC